rnacentral:rRNA from 1 species
UACGUAGGGGGCUAGCGUUGUCCGGAAUUAUUGGGCGUAAAGGGCUCGUAGGCGGUUUGUCGCGUCGGGAGUGAAAACACCGGGCUUAACUCGGUGCUUGCUUUCGAUACGGGCAGACUAGAGGCAUGCAGGGGAGAACGGAAUUCCUGGUGUAGCGGUGAAAUGCGCAGAUAUCAGGAGGAACACCGGUGGCGAAGGCGGUUCUCUGGGACGGUACUGACGCUGAGACGCGAAAGCGUGGGGAGCGAACAGG